rnacentral:rRNA from 1 species
CAGUAGCCGCGGGAAUACGAGGGGGGCAAGCGUUGUUCGGAAUUAUUGGGCGUAAAGGGCGCGUAGGCGGUUUGACAAGUCUGAUGUGAAAUCUAUGGGCUCAACCCAUAGCCUGCAUUAGAAACUGUCGGGCUUGAGUAUGGGAGAGGUGAGUGGAAUUUCCGGUGUAGCGGUGAAAUGCGUAGAUAUCGGAAGGAACACCUGUGGCGAAAGCGGCUCACUGGACCAUAACUGACGCUGAGGCGCGAAAGCUAGGGGAGCAAACAGGAUUAGAUACCCCAGUAGUCCCUGUCUCUUAUAA